ACGACGAGACCCCGCCCAUCCGAUACAACUCAGAAACCCGCCAUUUUAAACUAAACUGGGAAGAAGAUACUCAGGCAGAAGAAGUUAAACUUUCUUUUAUUUUUCUUCCAUUUGAAUGUGUGAGCAGUUAAGCCUAAUGCCGAAGUGUUUGGUAGUUACUCUCAAACAGAACUCUGCUUCGAAUGGCGGUUUGGAGAAUCCAGAUUUCAGUUGAAACGGAAACGAAUUAAAAACGGUUGGGGUUUUAACGGAGUUUGGUGGGUAUUUUUUUUCUUCCUGGGAUGGAGGUGGACAUCCUGGAGUUCAAGGUUCCUACGGACAACAACAAAACCGUGUUCGUUUGGGACAUCCCUCCGGUUCUGACCCAGGAUCAGGUUUAUGAGCAGCUCCAUCAUGUCUUCUCCUCUUUUGGACCGCUCUACCUGUUGAAGCUGUGUGCCAACGCUCCGCUCCACCCACCUGGUUUCUACGCCAUCAUCAAGUUCUACUCUGCUGCUCACGCUGCCAACGCCCAGAGACUCACAGAUGGACGCUCUCUGCUUCACAACUCCACCCUCAAGGUGAAGCUGAGUUCCAAGCAGACUCCCCACUUCCUGUCUGGCAGGAAUUCUCCUCUGAGCCACGCCCGCUGCCUGGAACUGGCCAAUCACUACCUGGGCUUCAAUGGCUGGACCUCUGACAUCAUCACACUGAAGGAGCUCACCAAUGAAGAAGAAGGUGAGGAUGAAGAAGAGGAUGUGGGUGGAGCCAGACAGAGGAUAAGGUUCGGCUGUAUGAUGAAGCUUAGCUUCCCUCGUUACGGCGUGACGACCAGAGGAGCCGCAGUGGUGGAGGAGACCUUCAACUGUACAGGUCCAGACGUCCUCCUGCAGAGACGCUGCAAGCUGCAGCGGUCGGUCAGAGAGAAGGCCCUGGUCCAGGCCUUCUCCUCUGUGCUGCUCAUACUUCUAGGGAAUGGUAAGGUGAUGGUGGAGCUGAAGCAGACCUCAGAUCAGUUUGAAGCUGAUGAGACGGAAGACGUCCUGGAGGUGAAUGAGUUUUCCCUGUCAGAGGCUGAUGAUGAGGAGGCUGAUGAUGAAGACUGGGAUCUGACUGUGUCUUAGACUCUCUCAGGAUUACAGUUUGGACUGAUCUGAGGUCAGCUGCAGGCUAACCAGCCUCCUGCCUUCCUGAUUGGCUGGUCCUGCUCAGGACUUAAAGUAUCUGCUAUUGAUGGAUCAAGUCCGAGACUGAGGUCCGAGAACAGUCAGAGAUCUUCUGGUGGCUUUGAGAGCCGACAAACAGAACAUCAUCAUCAUCACAGCACCACAUUUCCUUUAGGAGCAUCACAAUAAACCAGUGAAUAGUAAAAAAAUACUUUAAUAUCAUCAGCAUACAGACAAAACAUCCAUCGACACUGCAGGGAAUGCUAACACACACAGACUAAAGCUGCUUUCAGUGACUGUCAGAAAUUACAAAACUGUACACUAAUCUCUACAGCACAAAAAACACUGGACCACGCAGCACCUGAAGGCAGCAGAACGAAUUUACAGACGAGUCCUGAAGGCAGCAUGGACAGAAACGCUGACCCUGCAGCAAUAUCCGGUCCUUAAAGGAGAAUUCCAAUAUUUAUAACAUAGCCCUUCAAAUUAAAACCUUGGUGGAUCAAUUGAUCCUUUCCGAUGGCUGAGGGCCGAUCACACACAGAUCAAUAAAAAUUGUACCA